rnacentral:rRNA from 1 species
UCCGAUGGGUGAACCUGCGGAAGGAUCAUUACUGAGUGAGGGCCCUCUGGGUCCAACCUCCCACCCGUGUUUAUUGUACCUUGUUGCUUCGGUGAGCCCGCCUCACGGCCGCCGGGGGGCUUCUGCCCCCGGGCCCGCGCCCACCGAAGACACCAUUGAACUCUGUCUGAAGAUUGCAGUCUGAGCAUAAACUAAAUAAGUUAAAACUUUCAACAACGGAUCUCUUGGUUCCGGCAUCGAUGAAGAACGCAGCGAAAUGCGAUAACUAAUGUGAAUUGCAGAAUUCAGUGAAUCAUCGAGUCUUUGAACGCACAUUGCGCCCCCUGGUAUUCCGGGGGGCAUGCCUGUCCGAGCGUCAUUGCUGCCCUCAAGCACGGCUUGUGUGUUGGGCUCCGUCCCCCCGGGGACGGGCCCGAAAGGCAGCGGCGGCACCGAGUCCGGUCCUCGAGCGUAUGGGGCUUUGUCACCCGCUCUGUAGGCCCGGCCGGCGCCAGCCGACAACCCAUCAUCCUUUUCAGGUGACCUCGGAUCA